UCCGUAGGUGAACCUGCGGAAGGAUCAUUAUCGUAGGGGGCUAUGCCCCCGAAAGGAUGUAGGCCAGCCAGAAUUGUAGUGGCUACUUGGAUGGCUGGCCGUCCAUCAGCUCUAACCCUUGCCUAUGAGUACUAUUGUUUCCUCGGCAGGCUUGCCUGCCAAUGAGGACCCCAUCAACCCUUUUUAUAUUAUUGUAACCGUAACAAACAAAUAAUCAAAACUUUCAACAACGGAUCUCUUGGUUCUGGCAUCGAUGAAGAACGCAGCGAAAUGCGAUAAGUAGUGUGAAUUGCAGAAUUCAGUGAAUCAUCGAAUCUUUGAACGCACAUUGCGCCCUGUGGUAUUCCGCAGGGCAUGCCUGUUCGAGCGUCAUUUAACCCCCUCAAGCUCUGCUUGUUGUUGGGCGUUUGUCCCACCUUUCGGCAUGGACUCGCCUUAAAAAUAUUGGCAGCCACCUCCCUGGCUUCGAGCGCAGCACUCUUGCGCCCGGUAUAUAGGGGGUGUGGUUCCCCAUAAGCACUUCUUUGGUUGACCUCGGAUCAGGUAGGGAUACCCGCUGAACUUAAA
rnacentral:rRNA from 1 species